GAUGAACGCUGGCGGCGUGCCUAAUACAUGCAAGUCGAGCGAACAGACGAGGAGCUUGCUCCUUUGACGUUAGCGGCGGACGGGUGAGUAACACGUAGGUAACCUACCUAUAAGACUGGGAUAACUUCGGGAAACCGGAGCUAAUACCGGAUAAUAUUUCGAACCGCAUGGUUCGAUAGUGAAAGAUGGCUUUGCUAUCACUUAUAGAUGGACCUGCGCCGUAUUAGCUAGUUGGUAAGGUAACGGCUUACCAAGGCAACGAUACGUAGCCGACCUGAGAGGGUGAUCGGCCACACUGGAACUGAGACACGGUCCAGACUCCUACGGGAGGCAGCAGUAGGGAAUCUUCCGCAACGGGCGAAAGCCUGACGGAGCAACGCCGCGUGAGUGAUGAAGGUCUUCGGAUCGUAAAACUCUGUUAUUAGGGAAGAACAAACGUGUAAGUAACUGUGCACGUCUUGACGGUACCUAAUCAGAAAGCCGCGGCUAACUACGUG
rnacentral:rRNA from 1 species